GCCCUGGUGUUGAAAUUGGUAGACAAGCACGCUUCAGGAGCGUGUCCCGGCAACGGGGUGAGAGUUCGAAUCUCUCCCAGGGCA
rnacentral:tRNA from 1 species